rnacentral:rRNA from 1 species
GAUAAACGCUGGCGGCGUGCAUAACACAUGCAAGUCGAACGAUGAAGAUUAAAAGAUUUCUUCGGAAUGAACUUAAUUGGAUUAGUGGCGGACGGGUGAGUAACGCGUGAGUAACCUGCCUUGUACAAGGGGAUAGCCGUUGGAAACGACGAAUAAUACCCUAUGACAUCAAAUAACCGCAUGAUAAUUUGAUCAAAGAUUUAUCGGUAUAAGAUGGACUCGCGUCUGAUUAGCUAGUUGGUGGGAUGAAAGCCUACCAAGGCAACGAUCAGUAGCCGGCUUGAGAGAGUGUACGGCCACAUUGGGACUGAGACACGGCCCAGACUCCUACGGGAGGCAGCAGUGGGGAAUUUUGCACAAUGGGGGAAACCCUGAUGCAGCGACGCCGCGUGGGGGAUGACGGCCUUCGGGUUGUAAACUCCUUUCGCUAGGGACGAAGCUUUUUGUGACGGUACCUAGAUAAGAAGCACCGGCUAACUACGUGCCAGCAGCCGCGGUAAUACGUAGGGUGCGAGCGUUGUCCGGAAUUACUGGGCGUAAAGGGCUCGUAGGUGGUUUGUCGCGUCGUCUGUGAAAUUCCGGGGCUUAACUCCGGGCGUGCAGGCGAUACGGGCAUAACUUGAGUACUGUAGGGGUAACUGGAAUUCCUGGUGUAGCGGUGAAAUGCGCAGAUAUUAGGAGGAAUACCGGUGGCGAAGGCGACUUUCUGGCCAUAAACUGACGCUGAGGUACGAAAGCGUGGGUAGCAAACAGGAUUAGAUACCCUGGUAGUCCACGCCGUAAACGAUGAGUGUUAGGUGUCUGGAAUAAUCUGGGUGCCGCAGCUAACGCAUUAAACACUCCGCCUGGGGAGUACGCACGCAAGUGUGAAACUCAAAGGAAUUGACGGGGACCCGCACAAGCAGCGGAGCAUGUGGUUUAAUUCGACGCAACGCGAAGAACCUUACCAAGUCUUGACAUAAUACGGAAGCUUUUAGAGAUAAGAGCCUACAUCUUCGGAUGACUGUAUUACAGGUGGUGCAUGGUUGUCGUCAGCUCGUGUCGUGAGAUGUUGGGUUAAGUCCCAUAACGAGCGCAACCCCUAUUGUUAGUUACCAUCAUUAAGUUGGGGACUCUAGCAAUACUGCCGGUGAUAAACCGGAGGAAGGUGGGGAUGACGUCAAAUCAUCAUGCCCUUUAUGACUUGGGCUACACACGUGCUACAAUGGCAGGUACAGAGGGAAGCGAAACUGUGAAGUCAAGCGAAACUCAAAAAGCCUGUCCCAGUUCGGAUUGCACUCUGCAACUCGAGUGCAUGAAGUUGGAGUUGCUAGUAAUCGUGGAUCAGAAUGCCGCGGUGAAUGCGUUCCCGGGUCU